UACGUAGGGUGCAAGCGUUGUCCGGAAUUAUUGGGCGUAAAGAGCUCGUAGGCGGUUUGUUGCGUCGGCUGUGAAAUCCCGUGGCUCAACCAUGUGGUCUGCAGUCGAUACGGGCAGGCUAGAAUUCGGUAGGGGGAGACCGGAAUUCCUGGUGUAGCGGUGAAAUGCGCAGAUAUCAGGAGGAACACCAGUGGCGAAGGCGGCUCACUGGACCAUUACUGACGCUGAGGUGCGAAAGCGUGGGGAGCAAACAGG
rnacentral:rRNA from 1 species